AAUCAACGCUGGCGGCGUGCCUCAGACAUGCAAGUCGAACGAUUAAGACUUCCUUCGGGAAGUGCAUAAAGUGGCGCACGGGUGAGUAACACGUAAGUAAUCUACCUUUGAGUGGGGAAUAACCCGGGGAAACCCGAGCUAAUACCGCAUAAUGCAGCGGCAUCGCAAGAUGACAGUUGUUAAAGGAGCAAUCCGCUUAAAGAGGAGCUUGCGGCAGAUUAGCUAGUUGGUAAGGUAAUGGCUUACCAAGGCUACGAUCUGUAUCCGGUCUAAGAGGACGGUCGGACACACUGACACUGAAUAACGGGUCAGACUCCUACGGGAGGCAGCAGUCGGGAAUUUUGGGCAAUGGGCGAAAGCUUGACCCAGCAACGCCGCGUGAAGGAUGAAGUAUUUCGGUAUGUAAACUUCGAAAGAAUAGGAAGAAUAAAUGACGGUACUAUUUAUAAGCUCCGGCUAACUACGUGCCAGCCGCCGCAGUAAUAC
rnacentral:rRNA from 1 species